CCUACGGGUGGCUGCAGUGGGGAAUAUUGCACAAUGGGCGCAAGCCUGAUGCAGCCAUGCCGCGUGUGUGAAGAAGGCCUUCGGGUUGUAAAGCACUUUCAGCGGGGAGGAAGGCGGUGAGGUUAAUAACCUCAUCGAUUGACGUUACCCGCAGAAGAAGCACCGGCUAACUCCGUGCCAGCAGCCGCGGUAAUACGGAGGGUGCAAGCGUUAAUCGGAAUUACUGGGCGUAAAGCGCACGUAGGCGGUCUGUCAAGUCGGAUGUGAAAUCCCCGGGCUCAACCUGGGAACUGCAUUCGAAACUGGCGGGCUAGAGUAUUGUAGAGGGGGGUAGAAUUCCAGGUGUAGCGGUGAAAUGCGUAGAGAUCUGGAGGAAUACCAGUGGCGAAGGCGGCCCCCUGGACAAAGACUGACGCUCAGGUGCGAAAGCGUGGGGAGCAAACAGGAUUAGAUACCCUAGUAGUC
rnacentral:rRNA from 1 species